rnacentral:misc_RNA from 1 species
AGGUCUUCAAAAAACUUCUCUGCACUGUUCAUACCACGAACUUUUGCAAUCAAAUCCAAAUGAACUGCAUAGUCACCAGAUAAUAGUUCGAUAUCAUCUUGUACCCUCAUCCAUUCACAAACCUCAAGGGCGUGUUUAUAUCGUUUGUGUCUUCGCAACUCCCGGACAAUGCGAUUGAGCUCAUACUUCCGGACAGGGUGCCCCUCUUCCUUCCACUUGCGUAUAGCAAUGACAGCACUACGUUUUGCAUAGAUCAAACUCAAAAGCCUCCUCCCUAGUGUGUCUCUGCCACGAGUACUAGUGCCACCUUCUAAGCUAGUGGUAAUGCCACUUCCACCUCCUGAUCCUGUGGACUUAACUGUUGUCGAAGCUUCAGUCGAUAGAGGGCGAACAGCAGCAUAA